CCUACGGGCGGCUGCAGUGGGGAAUAUUGCACAAUGGGCGCAAGCCUGAUGCAGCCAUGCCGCGUGUGUGAAGAAGGCCUUCGGGUUGUAAAGCACUUUCAGCGGGGAGGAAGGCGGUGAGGUUAAUAACCUCAUCGAUUGACGUUACCCGCAGAAGAAGCACCGGCUAACUCCGUGCCAGCAGCCGCGGUAAUACGGAGGGUGCAAGCGUUAAUCGGAAUUACUGGGCGUAAAGCGCACGCAGGCGGUCUGUCAAGUCGGAUGUGAAAUCCCCGGGCUCAACCUGGGAACUGCAUUCGAAACUGGCAGGCUAGAGUCUUGUAGAGGGGGGUAGAAUUCCAGGUGUAGCGGUGAAAUGCGUAGAGAUCUGGAGGAAUACCGGUGGCGAAGGCGGCCCCCUGGACAAAGACUGACGCUCAGGUGCGAAAGCGUGGGGAGCAAACAGGAUAGAUACCCUAGUAGUC
rnacentral:rRNA from 1 species